GGCGCAGGUGUCGUAUCACGGACGCCGGGAGGAGGUCAAGUUCUUCGUCUCCAUUCCCGGAACGUACACACUCGGCGGGGCCACGCCUUCCAGCAACGACCCGAAGGCCAGCCAGGAGGACGCCAGUCUGCUGGUGUCCGGGGGUGAAGGCUACGUGGACUUCCGCUACGAUGACAGUGCGGAGAGCGGACUGGAGGAUUCUCCGGGCGGCAACGCGGAGCCGCGCAGUAUCCGCUCGCACCUGAUCGUGUGGCAGACGCCGACCACGCCUACCACCUCCGCGCCCCGAUCCUGAAGGAGAGCGACGG